ACAGGCUCAGUCUCAGCCUGGUUCCUGUUUGUGGUGCCCCUUUCUCAGGCCUGUGGGGAUGUCAGGAGCUUAGGACAGCGCCGGGCUCAAGAGAUGUGGCUACCUUCCCUCCUGCUUUCGGUACUCAGCGCAGGCAGGGUUCAGUGCAGCAAGUAACAGCUGUGGCUUACUGGAUUGUCUGCAACCAUUGGCGACUGAGAGAUCCCUGCAGCCCUCCCAGACCCUCGAUCUGACUGGAGCCAGGCCCACGUGGGGAAAGGGUUAAACGUUGGCAGUGACUUCACCCCUGCAUUGGAGCAGGCGGAGGCAGAGUAGGAACCUGCUGGAAGCUGUUCUGAACCAGAGAAGGAUGAAAAUAGCUGCCAAAGAUGUUGCCAUAGCAACUGCUUUCCUUCCUGACCUCCUUGGAAGUUAGUAGUUGACUUUGCAGUUGAAGUACUUUUCUGAAGGCAGAAGAGGCUGUCAGCCAUUUUAUACUGACCUAACUUUCUUCUCUUGAAGGUGAACUCCCUCAUUUUCCAGAGUAGUCAAGGAAUUUCUGUGCCUCUACCCAUGGCUUUGGUUACCAACUCAUCCCUGGGGGCCUUGGUUUCUUUCUGUGAAAUGGAAUAUUCAUUCCAGCACUCACCACCUUCUAGGCUGGAGUAAGGCUCCAACUUUGCAAAUGCUGUUAGUAAACUGUAGAGCUCCGUG
rnacentral:lncRNA from 1 species